GCCUUGGCUCUGCAUCCCCUGUGUCCCGGUUAUUUCAUGACCCUUACCCAGGGACCCGAACGCUCUAGACGUUCACAAUUGGCGCCUGAACAGGGACCCUGUUGGAUUGUCAGGAAGGGUAAGUUAUUUUUCUUUAUAUUACAGGGUGAUAGGACAAUCUUCAUCUUCUCCUUUUUUACGUAUUCUUAGGCAUUCACUUGCUGUCUAUGGUAUUAACAUUUCCCAUUCUGAUAUAGAGAUGUGUCUUAAGGUGGUCAGGGAAUGGAAUCCCUGGUUCCUGGAGGAAGGAUCUAUGGAUGUAGAUAAUUGGAAACGGGUCCGUCACAAUGUUGAAAAGGCCAUGAGGCAAGGUGAAAAAAUUCCAAUUCGGUUUUGGUCUAUCUGGUCUGUUUUAUAUACAAUGUUUAAAGCUAUGGAGGAAGAAAGAUUAAUUGGCAACUUACAAAAGGAGUUAGCUCCCUCUAUUUUAGAUCUCCCUCUGGAUGUUAGUGAAAAAGAAUAGGUAGUAAAAGAUACACAACAAUUGACUCAUAAUUCUUCACAAAAUUCUGCUGAUUUAAUUGGUACUGCUAUGGAAAAGAAAACGAAAGUAAAAACGAUGAUUGAUGAUCGCUCCAUUUCGGAGCAAUUCAAACUUGUUAUGGAGGAGGUUUUAGGACGUCUUAAUAAAUUAGAAGCUAAAAUGGACCCUAAGCCUUUAUCGGGAACCAGGCCCUCUGCCCCUCCGGCCACCAAUCCUUUUUUGGCAGCUUCUUUAAAGGCUGUCCAGGAAAUGGACUCAGAACCUUCUGACGAUGAGGACGAAACUCCUUUCUUUGCUUUUCCUAUAAUCAGGCCUGAUCCAGUUAAUGGAAUGGCACAUCCACCUCGGUAUGAGGGGAUUGAUAUUGAUCAUAUUAGCAGAUUAAAAAAGGCUGUUACUGCCUCAAUCCCAUUCUGUAAAAGCAUUGCUUAAUGCUUUUUGCUACUCAUUAUAAUAAUUUUGCUCCAGUACAUAGGAAUUAUAUAAAGUGUUAAAGCAACUGUAUAUAUUUAAAUUGUGUGUGUUAAAGAUUAAGAAAAAAGAUAAUGAUUAUUUUUCCUAAAUGAAAUAACAUUCUUCUCUCCACCAAAUUUUUUUCUGAAGUUAAUGGCAUUUGGAUCAAAGUUUUAUUAAAAGCUACAUUUUAUAACACUGGCACAAAAAAAGUAGUUUUAAACUUGUUUGCACAGUUGUUUUUUUCCAUUGGAAAUGGAAUUCAUUGCCUUAAGUCUUUUUAAAUAGUGUAUUAUCGUUGGGGCUAGCUCUAUGCUUGAAAACCAGUUUAUUUAUAACCUGUUGUAAGUGCUAUAU
rnacentral:lncRNA from 1 species